AUUGCUGACCUAUCAGGACUCAGGGGUGUGGCCUUCCAUCUUUCUUGGUGGCUUCACAAGAAAAGUGCCUCUGAGCCCUGAGCCAGAACAACCCAGGCUUCAGUAUGGCGAAGGCAACUAAGAAGUCACAUGACCCUACCAAAAAUAUCAGGCCAUCAACCUCAGGAACCAAGUCUAAGAAAGCCAAAAGUCGCCAUGAGCCCAAAACCAGAACUGCUGGCAAGAAGGAUGAUAAAUCCAGUUCCAGAAGCUGUAGAAUGGCAAGAAGGUGCAAAUGAUUACCAAGGUCAAGAAAACCCCACCAAGGAGGGCAAAGAGAAAGGCUUCUGAGAAAACUACAACCUCAACAAAAGGGAACAAAAAAGCCAGUGGGAAAUUACUAUAUGGUCACUACCACCACCUGAUGAAAGAGAUGACCAGGACUGAGACUGAUCCAGGGCAAAGCAGCUUAGAGAGUUGCAGUAUCUCAGCAAGUGACCUGGAAAGCCAGUAGUCUCAGAAUGCCACCAGAAACCUAGCCAUCUGUGCAAAGGUCUAGCAGCUAAGCAAUGUCGAACUGUGUAGAAUGAUUUUUUACUACACAGUUACUUUGAUAUUGAUGAAAAUAAAAUCAAUCUGAUAU